rnacentral:lncRNA from 1 species
GCUUAUCCAGAAAUUAAUUAAUUAAUUAAUCUUGCCCGAAAAUUUUGCACACGACAUCUGAAUUUCACCGACAAAAUUACGACUUGUUUCUUUCAACCACACGAAUUGGUCAUUCCCAAAUCAAAUUAAAUGGAGAGAAAAAUUAAAUUAUAGGUGAGAAAAAAACCAAUAAUGCAGCUAAUGAUUAAGCUGGACGCUAGCAGCAGCAGAGGCAUCUAUGGGCAGGGUUCAUCUGGGCCUCACGUCCCCAUCACGGCACCAAUCUCGAGGCGCCUCCCUGCGCCGGCCGCCACCUGGCAGAAUCCGCCGCCGCCCCCGCCGUUGCAGCAGCC